rnacentral:rRNA from 1 species
AUACGUAGGUGACAAGCGUUAUCCGGAUUUACUGGGCGUAAAGGGCGUGUAGGCGGUCUUGCAAGUCAGAAGUGAAAUUCCUGAGCUCAACUCGGGCGCUGCUUCUGAAACUGCAGGACUUGAGUGCUGGAGGGGAUAGCGGAAUUCCUAGUGGAGCGGUAAAAUGCGCAGAUAUUAGGAAGAACACCGGUGGCGAAGGCGGCUAUCUGGACAGUAACUGACGCUGAGGCGCGAAAGCGUGGGGAGCAAACAGGAUUAGAUACCCUGGUAGUCCACGCUGUAAACGAUGAUUACUAGGUGUGGGGGGACUGACCCCUUCCUUGCCGCAGUUAACACAAUAAGUAAUCCACCUGGGGAGUACGGCCGCAAGGUUGAAACUCAAAUGAAUUGACGGGG